rnacentral:rRNA from 1 species
GGUAGUCCACGCCGUAAACGAUGUCGACUUGGAGGUUGUGCCCUUGAGGCGUGGCUUCCGGAGCUAACGCGUUAAGUCGACCGCCUGGGGAGUACGGCCGCAAGGUUAAAACUCAAAUGAAUUGACGGGGGCCCGCACAAGCGGUGGAGCAUGUGGUUUAAUUCGAUGCAACGCGAAGAACCUUACCUACUCUUGACGUCCAGAGAACUUUCCAGAAAUGGAUUGGUGCCUUCGGGAACUCUGAGACAGGUGCUGCAUGGCUGUCGUCAGCUCGUGUUGUGAAAUGUCGGGUUAAGUCCCGCAACGAGCGCAACCCUUAUCCUUUGUUGCCAGCGGUUAGGCCGGGAACUCAAAGGAGACUGCCAGUGAUAAACUGGAGGAAGGUGGGGAUGACGUCAAGUCAUCAUGGCCCUUACGAGUAGGGCUACACACGUGCUACAAUGGCGCAUACAAAGAGAAGCGACCUCGCGAGAGCAAGCGGACCUCAUAAAGUGCGUCGUAGUCCGGAUUGGAGUCUGCAACUCGACUCCAUGAAGUCGGAAUCGCUAGUAAUCGUAGAUCAGAAUGCUACGGUGAAUACGUUCCCGGGCCUUGUACACACCGCCCGUCACACCAUGGGAGUGGGUUGCAAAAGAAGUAGGUAGCUUAACCUUCGGGAGGGCGCUUACCACUUUGUGAUUCAUGACUGGGGUGAAGUCGUAACAAGGUAACCGUAGGGGAACCUGC